CGGCAAACCUGUCGAAAGGCAGGGGCGCAAAGCUAGGUAUCUAAGCGAUUAUCGUAUGAUUGACCGGC
rnacentral:ncRNA from 1 species